CAGUCGCCACGGGAAUACGAAGGGUGCAAGCGUUACUCGGAAUUACUGGGCGUAAAGCGUGCGUAGGUGGUGGUUUAAGUCCGUUGUGAAAGCCCUGGGCUCAACCUGGGAAUUGCAGUGGAUACUGGAUCACUAGAGUGUGGUAGAGGAUAGUGGAAUUUCCGGUGUAGCAGUGAAAUGCGUAGAGAUCGGAAGGAACAUCUGUGGCGAAGGCGACUAUCUGGGCCAACACUGACACUGAGGCACGAAAGCGUGGGGAGCAAACAGGAUUAGAUACCCCAGUAGUCCCUGUCUCUUAUAC
rnacentral:rRNA from 1 species